UACGUAGGGUGCAAGCGUUAGUCGGAAUUACUGGGCGUAAAGCGUGCGCAGGCGGUUUUGUAAGUCUGUCGUGAAAGCCCCGGGCUCAACCUGGGAAUUGCGAUGGAGACUGCAAGGCUUGAAUCUGGCAGAGGGGGGUAGAAUUCCACGUGUAGCAGUGAAAUGCGUAGAUAUGCGGAGGAACACCGAUGGCGAAGGCAAUCCCCUGGAGCUUUGCUGACGCUGAUGCGCGAAAGCGUGGGGAGCGAUCCGG
rnacentral:rRNA from 1 species